ACCUCGAUGUCGGCUCAUCUCAUCCUGGGGCUGAAGCAGGUCCCAAGGGUAUGGCUGUUCGCCAUUUAAAGAGGUACGCGAGCUGGGUUUAGAACGUCGUGAGACAGUUCGGUCCCUAUCUACCGUGGGCGCUGGAAAUUUGAGAGGAUCUGCUCCUAGUACGAGAGGACCAGAGUGGACGAACCUCUGGUGUACCGGUUGUGACGCCAGUCGCAUCGCCGGGUAGCUAUGUUCGGAAGGGAUAACCGCUGAAAGCAUCUAAGCGGGAAGCCUACCUCAAGAUAAGAUUUCCCUAGGACUUUAUGUCCUCUAAAGAGCCGUUCGAGACUAGGACGUUGAUAGGUUGGAUGUGGAAGCAUAGUGAUAUGUGAAGCUGACCAAUACUAAUUGCUCGUGAGGCUUGACUAU
rnacentral:rRNA from 1 species